AUGGAGGGCGGUGGGGAUGCGCUGCCCGCGGACCUGCGGGAGCUGGCGGGCAAGGUGGGCCGCCGCCCGCCCGCCGGGCUGCUGAGGGGGCUCCGCGCCGAGCCCGUCCCCACCCCGCCGUCCCCGCUGCCGGCUCCGGUUCGCGGCGCCCGUCCGCCGAUCGCCGAUCGCCUCCGUGCGCUCCGCUUGGAGCUGGCAUACUUACGCGCAGCGGACGUGAAGAUCCUACAGCAGCUGGUGGCAGUCAACGAGGGCAUCGAGGCGGUGAAAUGGCUGCUGGAGGAGAAGAGCACACUGACCAGCCGCUGCAGCAGCCUGGCCAGCAGCCAGUACAGCCUGGCGGGCAGCCAGACGGCCUCGCGGCGGGGCAGCUGGGACAGCCUGCAGGAUCCCCCCGACAAGCUGGACAGCAUCUCCAUCGGCAGCUAUCUGGACACGUUGGCUGACGACAUGGAUGAGUAUUCCCAAAAUGCUGGCGAGCUCCCCAGAGCGCUGGGAAGGGCUGAGCAGGACUGGGGCAGGCUGGACCCCGAGAGGGGUUUCACGAAGCAGGAGAAGGGCAGAGCAGAGCAUGAGUGGCCCCACAAAGACCUCAGCCCAAAUCGGAGCUGCCCAGACCUGCAGCGCUUUGCUAAGGAGCCCCAGGUGGCCAAUGGCUACUCGGGCAAAGAGCCCAAAUUGGGGCCUGGAGAAAAGCUGGAGAAGGGGAAUGUGGGUGGGAAGGCUCGGAAAGCUGAGGCCAGCUUGGAGAACUGCAAACUCAACAGCGAACUGCACCUGGAGUACGAUGCCCACUGGCUCUGGCUGCAGUCCCAGGACGACGUGACGUUCUUGUAGCCCCUGGCUCUGUGUUUCCCACAUCGCCCUCUCUGCUUCAUUGGGCUCUGCUCGGGAUUGUGGUGUGGUUGGGAAUGGGAGCCACUCCUACACGUCCCAUUUGGUGGCACCAGCAGUGUGAGCCAUGGGGCAGGGCCAUGGGCUGGGCAUCCCAACUCAGCACUUCCAUUGUAUUUUUCCAAGCAGUGCCCACCAAGGGUAUAUGGAGCCGGGAGGAGCUGGAGCUUGGUUGGUUGUCAGUGUGGAAAGCCCUUCCUGGAGUUGAAGGUGGUUGAGAUGCCUCUGUGAAGCCACUCAGUGGGACAUGGAGCUCCAAGUUCCCUGGAUUUGUUCGAGGACUGUCCCACCGUGUGACCAAGCCCUGUGUGGUGGAGUGGCCCAAGACAUAUGGCUCCUCUGCUGGUGUGGCUCUGCAGCCUGGAGAUGUCCUCUCUGCCCUCUGAGCCUUGGCUUCUCACUGUGCCUUUGACUGCCUGCCCCCUAUGUACCCAGCACCACCAGCUUGCAGAGCAUGGCUUGCACUGAGCUGUACACUCACUUGGGCAGCAUCUGUGCCCUUCUUGGGAUGUUGCAGGGAAGGACAGUGGCAUUCCACAGCUUCAAGGAAGGGUUCUUCCACACACACAGCAGAGCUGAAUCCUGGCUCUGCCCCUGUUGGAGUGGUGGAAUUUGGUUCAUCAUCCCCUGGAGCUAGUGGGAAACCAACACUUUCCUGGAGCGGCUGCAGAGUGAGAUGGAUGUGGCCAGGAGGGCGGUUGGGUGCACCCUGGCUGCACAUGCACUUCCCUGCAUUGGUGGGCAAGAACAGGACAGUGUCCAAAUCAUGGGAGGUGGCAUCUGCUGAGGACUUGGGAGCAUCCCAAAUCCACCCCAUCCCAUCUGCCUGCCAGCAGCUCAUGUCUCUAUGCAUGGCCACCAUGUCCCCAAGGCUUCGCUUCUAGCUCUGCAUGAGAGUCCCCAAGGGGAUAGGGCCACGCUGUCGGUGCUUUGUUGAGUCUGCAGAGGUUUAGGGGCAGAAGAGUGCUGGAGCUGCCACCCCUGAGAACGAUAGCCUGUCCAACGCAAGCAUGAGCCAGUGAUCCAGACUCUUUAGCAAGGUAUGUUGUGAUAGGAUAAGAGGAAGUUUUCAACUAAAAGAGAAGAGAUUAAGACUGGAUAUAGGGAAAAAUUUUUUUACAAUAGGACAGAGAAGCACUGGUACAGUUUGCUCAGAGAGGUGGUGGAUGCUCCAUCCCUGGAGGCAUUCAAACUCAGACUGGAUCAGGCUCUGAGCACCUGGUUGAGCUGUGAGUGUUCCUGUUCAUUUCAGGGGAGUUGGACCAGACGACCUUUAAGAGACCUAUCCAACUCAAAUGAUUCUAUGAUCCACAGACCUUGGCAUCUGCUCAACCCUGAGCUCUCAAGGCAGACGCUGAAGACAGCAGGAUGGGGAAUGGUUUCCCCAUGUACUGCUGGGUUUAGGUAAAAAAUAAAACAAAAAGAAGAAAACCCAUAGAAGUAAAAUGUCCAGCCCAUUCUUCAGCCCAGCUUUUCUGUCCCUGUAGGUUGCCCAAAGAAGCUGUGUGUGUUCCAUCCCUGGAGGUGCUCAAGGCCAGGCUGGAUGGGGCCCUGGGCAGCCUGAUCUAUGGAGGACAACUAGCCCACAGCAUGGGGUUGGAGCUGGAUAGGUUUUAAGGUCCCUUUCAAUCCAACCAUUCUAUGUUUCUGUGCCCCCCUGAAUAGAACAUUGCCUCAAAUCCAGACCUUGGAGCUGGAUCUGGAGAAAUGAGAGCUGUUGUAACAGAGCUUUCCUGUGGAAAUGCCCUGGGGUGAUGUCUGUCUGCUGGUGGAUGAUAGUUUAGGGUUAGCAAUGGGUGCAAAGCUGCUGCCCCUGCUGUGUCACAGGGCUGUUGGGUGCUGGGAAUGGGCAGGAAAACAAGCAGAUAAAGCAGCUGAGCAGUGCCAGAAAACGCCCACUGCUGCUACAACAACACUGCCUGCCAAUUCUUCCUCUUAGAUAUACACAGAGAUUAGACCGUAUUAAUGAGGCAGUAAAACACUUUAAUAACUGGCAAGGGGAGCUAUUGGAAAGUCCCCUGGGCUCUCCCCUCCCUGCAUGCCCUGAAAGGGCCUGUCCCUGGAGGGCUGCAGCCAUGUAACAGCUCCUAUCCAACCACCUUUUCCCAGGGAGGGGGAGAGCCCGCUGCCAGGUCCUAUGUUCACCUUCACGCUCCCCAUGCUUGCUGCUACCGUUCUGCUCCUCUGGGGGUUACACACCAGAUAUGUAUGCCACCUUAUUCUCCUCUGUGACCCAUUGCCUAGGAAAUGUCCCACUGCGUUCCUGGGGACACCUUGCUCUGUGCCAUCGUAGGUGUGACACUGCUGCUCACCCCACUGGGGAUCACCCUGUCGCUGUCUUCUGCCCACCAGCCUUGCUCAGGUCUCUCUUGGGGUGAGGAGGAGGAGAAAUCAGAAUCACUCUUCUGAAAAAUCAAUCUGCUUUUAUCGUGUUUGCCCAGCCUGACCUCACAGAACCCCUCUGUUGUUUUUUCCAUGGGGUGUUUAGAGGGAAAAUUACAGUAAAUACUUUGCAAAGAGGCCGUGGGAGAUAAGGACUGGAUUGUCAGCAGGGAAAAAUUGGCACAGCGAGCUCUGCACAGCCACUGGCAGGAUUUCCCAUGCUGCCCUGCUCCUGGGACCUGGAGAAAAGGGCAUCAUCAUGAGCAGCACAAGGUCUCAGAAGCAGACAAAGGUUAAAACACAUUGGGUGCUGCUGACAGGCUCCAGCCUGGGGACUUUUGGCUGGAGAGAAGAACUGAGUUGUUUAUGAGAGAGAUGGCGUGGUAGCUGGGGCUGGGGAGGGACUGAUCUGGGAAAUACCAGGGAAUUUGGGGUGUCAAGUCCCCCUACCCACCCAGAGCCCAUGUCCCUGUCCUGCAUGGCCUCCUCUCAUGGUGAUGUCUGGACAUGUCCCUGUGUGGGCCCACUGAUACACUUCUCCCAGUCACUCUUUAGCACCACCUGGAGCCUCUUGCUGCCCCUUUUCAUGCCCUUCAUCCCCAGGACAUGCCCUUGCAGUGCUGGCAUGAGACAUGCAGUGAGGAGCCCACAGAUGACCACGGCAUAACUGCAGUCCCACAUCCUGCAGUGGCAGUUUGGGACUGGUGGCUGAUUUUGGCCAAAUAAAACACCAAAGCUCAGGUCUUGGUGUUAAAUCCAGGUGUGAAGUGUGGAGCUCCGCCAGCACCUAAAGCUUGUGGGAAAGGGCACGUCUCCCCUGCCAAGAGUUUCCCUCUGAUUACAGGAGGUAUUAGGAAGGAAGGAACCCACCACCCUCAGCCAGUGUGGGUGUCGUGUCUCCCCCUAGGUAUUUUGCUCAUCCUCUGCACAUCUCUCUACUGGGAACCAUGGGGGUUUGAGGCCAUUUUAGGGUUUGGAAACCUCCCACUUGUGAGGCUGUGCUUCAUGCAAGAAGAGCAGUGUGGAUUACGGCUGCUAUAAAAAGUGCUGGCACCUCUCACCCUGCGCCCUAAGGCGCUUAUGGGAGGAAAGCAGGACUUAGGGAGCUAUGCUGAGGCCCUUCCCAGCCUCUAGGGAGGCUGGAUUGAAAAAAGCACUGCUUUUUUGAAGAACUGUUUCCAGCCAAAAGCCUUGCACAGCUCCAGGCUGCCCCAGGUACCCGCAUUCAACACCUGGAGGGGAUCUGUGCUUCACCAAACCUGCACACGUGGGAGCUCAGUGGAUCAGCCUUGGCAUCACCGGGAGCUGCAGAGCUCUGCGCAUCCCUGCUGCCAUCAGUUGCUGAUGAUGUGACGAUUCGUGCUCCGUGCUCUUGCAGUACCGCUUUGCAGCUGUGCCACUCUGCAGGACGAGCCCUUCCUUUUUCUCUCCUGCCACAUUCUGGGGUCUCGGCCACGUCCCACCACCCUGCGACGUUCGCACGGCGAGGGGUUACGGUUGCAGGAGGCCCGGGAAGAGCGGCCACAGGAGGGAGCCGUGUCCCUUCCAGGACAGCGGGUGACAAAGGGACACUGUCGCUGAGAGCCCUGGAGAACCCGAUGCUCAGCCCCGGAUGCUGAAAAGUCAGGGCAAUGAGGAGACCCGCAACUCCCAGGAAAGCUUCUGCCCCCCAGGAACUGAGAUAUUCCCAAAUUUCCCCAGUUCCAUUGCUGCAGCCCUGCUCCAAGGUUCCAAAAUUGCAGGCAUUGCCCCUGGCCCCCCAAACAAAGCAUUCAUCCAGCUCAGUGCAGUGGGCCAGAGCUGUGACAGUGCAGCCUCAGUGGUGGGAUCAGCAGAAGUGCCCCCACCUUGCCAGACAGGGACAUACACACUUAUACACAGGGAAUUAACGGGGACUCACGUCACCCUCAGGCUCUGUACACCCAUAUAGAACUGCUCCCCAUCUCCCCUGGCAUUCCCCGUUAAAGCCCCACUUCCCUUGACAACCACAGCCCCAUGCUUUUGGGAGGCAGAUGAUGCUCCAACCCCUGCUAUGGCUACCCUGGGGCUUGGGCAAUUGACUCUGCUCAGGAUCAGCCCCUCUGGCCUUUUUUGAAUUUGGAAAAGAUGUAGAGAGCUGUGCUGUACAGAGAAAUGGUGGAUCCUGCUUCAAACAUCACACGUGUGGCUGUGGUGACCCCAGCACACCCUCAGGGAGUCGCCCAGCUUGGAGGUGACAAAGGGAACCCAAAGGAGAUGAGCCAGGGAUGCAGCUAAAUGGGGACCCAAAGAGCUGCGUUCACUGCCGGUGGGUCCCUGCCCUCCCCUCCAGCAUCAUCUCUCCAACUGCAUGGGUAUGCUGGGAGAGAUUUGUAGGCACAUGUAUUUGUUGUACAUCUUUCUUGUCUCCCCACUUUGCCCUUCCCACCGCCCCAUUCCCAUGACGCAGGACAGCCGCAUGCCAAAGGACCACCCUUCUCUCUGCCUCGCCUCUGCUCGCUGUAUUUCUCCAUUUGCUCUUUUGUUAUUCAUGGGGGAAAAAAGGAAGCUGAUAGACCCACAGGACUGACAAUCCCGUGGCCCUGGCAAUGUCCUUAGAACCUGGAAGGCUCUGCCCUGCAGGCUCUGCUCAUCCCGCAGCCCCUUUCCCUUUGCCCCCAUCCCUGCAGUGCCGGUUGCUCAGCAGCAGACAGUCCUCUGUCGGUGGUAGAGGCGAACAAGGAGACUUCCCUUGAUCCUUCCCUGCCAUGCCCAUCCCAUCACGCUGCUCACGUCUGCUGUGGCAGGUGGCAGGUCUCGCCGAUGGCGAUGACCACGUCCUGGGGCUGGCGGUCGUGGUGGCGCGGCACCUCGGGCAUCUCACUCAUCUCAUUGACGCUGCUGGUGAUGCAGUUGACGUCGCUUUUGUUGCUGUUGUCAUCUGGGUUGGGGCCGAAGAUCCAAUCUGGGAGUGAAGGAGGAAAAAAUACGGUUAUCUCUGGUUGUUCCCAGAUCCAAAACCCAGGUGGGAAAUUCUCCAUUCCCAUCCUCCAUUGAAUCUUGAGCUCUGAGUAUGAGGUCCCAGGAGUGUCCCCUGCCCUCUCUAUCCCUGUCCCCAUCCCUGUCCCAUCCCCACCACUCCAUCCCAUCACCACAGUGCUGUGGCACAGCCUGUGCUUUUCGCUCUUCUUUUUCCCAUUUCUCAGGUUGCUGCUUCCUGGAGGCCCUCCUGGCUCAGGCAAAUGAAAUCAUGCUGCUAAUCCUGAAAAUGAAAAUUAAGUGUCUCCGAAGCGAGUCGUGCAUCUGGGCUCUCCAGCAAGCAGUGUGUUCUGUGCCAUGGCUUUUUGCUGUCAGGAAUGGAGAGGAUGAUUAAGUAACCGUGUGACAUCCCAAUGCAUCUGCUGCUGGAAUAAGGAAAAAUGUCCUGAGCUGGUGGCUGGGCAUACUUCCUCUAUGAGAAUGCACUGCAGCCAUGUGGAGCUUGGGACCCUCAUUUGGGCUGCUCUGAGGAGUUGGGAAUGAGAAAUGAGAAAAGCAAUGAGAAAAAAAUGAGAUAGAGAAAUCCAGGUGAGAGGAGAGUUGUUCCUGGGGUUGGAGGCAAUGGAAACCUCUUCAGCUAGCACAGGAACCCUCUCUGGGGUGGGUUUUGGUCUGCAGUGCCUGACCUGACCAAGUGGGGGUGAAAGGGGAUCAACAUGUCACUGCCAUUCAGGGAAAAAUUGAAAAGUCUACUGGAAGAUAUCAAUUUGAUGCAGUUAUCAUAGAAUCAAAAAGUCACAGAAUAUCCCAAACUGGAAGGGACACAUUCGGAUCAAGAGUCCAAUUUGCCUGUUGCAAUGCAAUUAUUUAACUUUUCUCUCCAGGCUGAACCAGAUGGCCAUGUCACCCCGAGGGUCAUGGUGCCCAUGGGCACCCAGGCUGGUUGGUACUCCUCAUGCAGCAUCUUGCUGUGACGCGGAAUCAGAAGGCAAUAAAGAGAUCACCCCUACAAAUACUGUUAAAGCCCUCAGCUGGCUUUUUCCUUGACGUCAGCACUAAAACUCCCAUGGGAGAUGGUCUGGUUGGGAAAAGGGGGAAUAACCUGGAGGAUGCAGAAAGAUGGGCGAUGGGACUUCAUAUAUCAACUUAGGAGUUGGACUCGAUGAUCCUUAUGGGUCCAUUUCAACUUGGGAUAUUCUAUGAUUCUUCGAUUCCACAUCCCAGGAGUGGUUGGAUGAGAGCUGCAGUGUGCAGAGGGCACAAAGAAUGGGAAGAUGAGACAACAUGUUUGAGCAAGGGGAGGUGGCAAUUGGUGGCCAGAUGGAGAGCCCUUUGGGAUGCGUUCUUGGAGAAGCAAGAGCAUGACAUGGCAAGGCAGCGGUAAAGGAAGAAGUGCAGAAGUUAAUCAUUGGGGAGAGCACUGGAGAGCUCAGCAAAAGCCAUUUCCUUGAGAAAAUGUCACAUCUAGGAGGAUAUUGCCUGGUUUUCAGGGUUGGCUGCUGGCUGCUUCUCGAGUGCGUGCGGACUGGAUUGUGCGCGCUAAUCCCAACCACUGUUUCCCUGGGAAUUAUUGCUGGAGCCUGCUGGAUCUAAUUACCUGGUAAUCUACAGGAAGAUGUAAUUAGGUUGUCAUUAGAGGGUAUUUACUGCGAUGCCUUUAUGAUUUGACUGUGUUAGUAAGGAGUGAAGUAAUUACGCAAUUACACGUUAUUUGUGGCCAUUUAUGGCCUGUAA